CUAUACAGCACUGUGAUAGCAGCUGAUGAGAGAAGGGCUAUAAAAAUACUUUUGAUUUGAUUUGAUUAGUCACCUGGAAUGCAUUUCAAUUAACAGGUGUGCCGUCUUAAAAGUUCAUUUUUGGAAUUUAUUUCCUUCUUAAUGCGUUUGAGCCAAUCAGUUGUGUUGUGACAAGGUAGGGAGAGGGAGAGAGAGAGAGGUGGUGUUACUAGAGGACCUGAGCCCUAGGGCCAUGCCUCAGGACUACCUGGUAUGAUGACUCCUUGCUGUCCCCAGUCCACCUGGCCGUGCUGCUGCUCCAGUUUCAACUGUUCUGCCUGCGGCUAUGGAACCCUGACCUGUUCACCGGACGUGCUUGUUGCACCCUCGACAACUACUAUGAUUAUUAUUAUUUGACCAUGCUGGUCAUUUAUGAACAUUUUAACAUUUUAACAUCUUGACCAUGUUCUGUUAUAAUAUCCACCCUGCACAGCCAGAAGAGGACUGGCCACCCCUCAUAGCCUGGUUCCUCUCUAGGUUUCUUCCUAGGUUUUUGGCCUUUCUAGGGAGUUUUUCCUAGGGAGUUUUUCCUAGCCACCGUGCUUCUUUCACAUGCUUUGCUUGCUGUUUGGGGUUUUAGGCUGGGUUUCUG
rnacentral:lncRNA from 1 species